rnacentral:rRNA from 1 species
UACGUAGGUCCCGAGCGUUAUCCGGAAUUAUUGGGCGUAAAGGGUGCGCAGGUGGUUAUGUAAGUUGGGUGUGAAAAUUCUGGGCUCAACCCAGAAACGCCACCCAAAACUGCAUAACUUGAGAGCAGGAGAGGCAAGUGGAAUUCCUAGUGUAGCGGUGAAAUGCGUAGAGAUUAGGAGGAACACCAGUGGCGAAGGCGGCUUACUGGACUGCAUCUGACACUGAGGCACGAAAGCGUGGGUAGCAAACAGG